AUUGAACGCUGGCGGAAUGCUUUACACAUGCAAGUCGAACGGCAGCACGGGGGCAGCCCUGGUGGCGAGUGGCGAACGGGUGAGUAAUACAUCGGAACGUGCCCGGUCGUGGGGGAUAACGUAGCGAAAGUUACGCUAAUACCGCAUACGAUCUGAGGAUGAAAGCGGGGGACCUUCGGGCCUCGCGCGAUCGGAGCGGCCGAUGUCAGAUUAGGUAGUUGGUGGGGUAAAGGCCUACCAAGCCGACGAUCUGUAGCUGGUCUGAGAGGACGACCAGCCAAGCUGGGACUGAGACACGGCCCAGACUCCUACGGGAGGCAGCAGUGGGGAAUUUUGGACAAAGGGCGCAAGCCUGAUCCAGCCAUGCCGCGUGCAGGACGAAGGCCUUCGGGUUGUAAACUGCUUUUGUACGGAACGAAAAGGCUCUGGCUAAUACCUGGGGCUCAUGACGGUACCGUAAGAAUAAGCACCGGCUAACUACGUG
rnacentral:rRNA from 1 species